AUUGAACGCUGGCGGAAUGCUUUACACAUGCAAGUCGAACGGCAGCACGGACUUCGGUCUGGUGGCGAGUGGCGAACGGGUGAGUAAUGUAUCGGAACGUGCCCAGUCGUGGGGGAUAACGUAGUGAAAAUUACGCUAAUACCGCAUACGAUCUAUGGAUGAAAGCGGGGGCUCGCAAGACAUCGCGCGAUUGGAGCGGCCGAUAUCAGAUUAGGUAGUUGGUGGGGUAAAGGCCCACCAAGCCAGCGAUCUGUAGCUGGUCUGAGAGGACGACCAGCCACACUGGAACUGAGACACGGUCCAGACUCCUACGGGAGGCAGCAGUGGGGAAUUUUGGACAAUGGGCGAAAGCCUGAUCCAGCCAUUCCGCGUGCAGGAUGAAGGCCCUCGGGUUGUAAACUGCUUUUGUGCAGAACGAAAAGGUUUCUACUAAUACUAGGAGCUCAUGACGGUACUGUAAGAAUAAGCACCGGCUAACUACGUGCCAGCAGCCGCGGUAA
rnacentral:rRNA from 1 species